UGGGGAAUAUUGCACAAUGGGCGCAAGCCUGAUGCAGCCAUGCCGCGUGUAUGAAGAAGGCCUUCGGGUUGUAAAGUACUUUCAGCGGGGAGGAAGGGAGUAAAGUUAAUACCUUUGCUCAUUGACGUUACCCGCAGAAGAAGCACCGGCUAACUCCGUGCCAGCAGCCGCGGUAAUACGGAGGGUGCAAGCGUUAAUCGGAAUUACUGGGCGUAAAGCGCACGCAGGCGGUUUGUUAAGUCAGAUGUGAAAUCCCCGGGGUCAACCUGGGAACUGCAUCUGAUACUGGCAAGCUUGAGUCUCGGAGAGGGGGGUAGGAUUCCAGGUGUAGCGGUGAAAUGCGUAGAGAUCUGGAGGAAUACCGGUGGCGAAGGCGACCCCCUGGACGAAGACUGACGCUCAGGUGCGAAAGCGUGGGGAGCAAAAAGG
rnacentral:rRNA from 1 species